UACGUAGGGUGCGAGCGUUAAUCGGAUUUACUGGGCGUAAAGCGUGCGCAGGCGGCCCGUUAAGACAGAUGUGAAAUCCCUGGGCUCAACCUAGGAAUUGCGCUUGUGACUGGCGGGCUCGAGUACGGUAGAGGGGGGUGGAAUUCCUGGUGUAGCAGUGAAAUGCGUAGAGAUCAGGAGGAACACCGAUGGCGAAGGCAGCCCCCUGGGCCUGUACUGACGCUCAUGCACGAAAGCGUGGGGAGCAAACAGG
rnacentral:rRNA from 1 species